rfam:Hordeum vulgare subsp. vulgare, WGS project CAJW01000000 data, contig: morex_contig_1562421
GAAAUAUUCCCUCCGUUUAAAAAUACUUGUCAUAGAACCGGAUGUAUCUAGAUGUAUUUUAGUUUUAGAUACAUCCAUUUUUAUCUAGUUAUGCGACAAGUAAUUCCGGACGAAGGGAGUAGUUA